rfam:Lupinus angustifolius cultivar Tanjil contig_9446, whole genome shotgun sequence.
UUGCACGACGCAACCCCGGGCUUCUCUGAAAUCUAUAUGACGAGAAAAGCCCCAAUGCACGUGCUAAAUCAUCGCCGUUCGUGUUGCAGUAUGGCCCUUAUUUCAAUGGCUAGAUCUGUGUCAAAGUAACGGCAAAAUUC